rnacentral:tRNA from 1 species
GACCGUAUAGCUCAGUUGGUAGAGCGUCGAUCUAGUAAUUCGAAGGUCGCGGGUUCAAGACCCGCGGCAGACU